GCCCAGUUAGCUCAGUUGGUAGAACAUGAGACUCUUAAUCUCAAGAUCCUGGGUUCGAGCCCCACAUCGGGCA